rnacentral:lncRNA from 1 species
GCUGGCGGAAGGAGCCGGCGGCUUUUCGGCGCCCGGUAGUGACCGGCAGUCCCCGGGUAGCCAGGGUGUCUGGGUGUUGGGACCGCUUAGUCGCGAGACCCCAGCAAACCUCUUGGCGUCUCUGAGCCUCAGCUUUUGCUUCUGUAGAAUAGGGUGUACUCAUCGUACAUUUCAUGGGAAUACCUAACGCAGUCAUUUGGAUGGUCCUGUGAGGUAGAAAACAUUGUCCAACGUUCUACGCGAGGAAAUGUGGCUGGGCCACAGGACUGGACUCCCCAGUCCCGCUUUUGCCUGAAGACUUCGAGGGACGCAGUUGGAGCGCAAGGCUCCUGCUUGGCGGUGAGGCAGAGGGCUAACGACCUUCCUUCUCCUAAAUUCACUGAUGCGGCGGCAAGAAUGGCACCGCCUCGUAGAGCUACCGCAUUUCCCAAACUCGUAGUCUCAGGACCACUUUAUACUCAUAAAAAUGAGGGCCCCAAGCUUUUGCUAAUGUGGGUUACAGCUAUCGAUGUUACCACAUUCUAAGUUAAAAUGCUUUAAAGUUUUUUGUUGUUUCGUUUAAAAGUAAACAGCCGGGCGCGGUAGCUCACGCCUGUAAUCCCAGCACUUUGGGAGGCUGAGGCGGGCGUAUCACCUGAGGUCAGGAGUUUGAGACCAGCCUGGCCAACAUGGUGAAACCCUGUCUCUACUAAAAAUACAAAAAUGAGCCAGGUAUGGUGGCGCAGGCCUGUAAUCCCAGCUACUCCGGAGGCUGAGGCAAGAGAAUCAUUUGAACCCAGGAGGCGGAGGUUGCGGCAACAGCACCUGGGCAGACCAUGCCAUUUCCCCUCCUGAACUCGGGUGCUUUGAAAGAAGUAUAGGGGGCCGGUCGCGGUGGCUCCCGCCUGUAAUCCCAGCACUUUGGGAGGCCGAGAUGGCCGGAUCACCUGAGGCUAGAAGUUCAAGACCAGCCUGGCCAACAUGGUGAAACCCCGUCUCUACUAAAAAUACAAAAAUUAGUUGGAUGUGGUGGCGUGUGCCUGUAAUCUCAGCUACUUGGGAGGCUGAAGCUGGAGAACUGCAUCAAUCCAGGAGGUGGGGCUGCAGUGAGCUGAGAUCCUGCCACUGCACUCCAGCCUGGGUGACAGCAAGACUCCGUCUCAAAAAGAAAAAAGAAACAAAUAUGGGGACGAACAGUGGGAAUGCAGAGGAGAGGGUUCCCAUCUGAGGAGGCUGGAAGAAAAGAAGGCUGGAAAAGAACCAUGAGAAACACAUGUCUGUCGUUUAAGCUAUACAGCCUAUGGUAUUUUGUCAUGGCAGUCUGAGCCAAGAGAGGGAGCAAUUUAAUUAGAUGUGUUAUGCUCUUCUAUCUAGGUCCCAUAUAGAUUGCCAACACUGUUAGUGCUUUCUCCUUUUGUGUUAAAAAGGAAAGAUAGAGGAAGGGAGGGAAGAAGGAAGGAUGGAGAAGAGAACAGAAAAGUAAAAUGAAAAUGUCUUCUAACCAUAUUGAAAAGCUAUCCAGGGCCGGGCACGGUGGCUCACGCCUGUAAUCCCAGCACUGUGGGAGGAUGAGGCGGGCGGAUCACAAGGUCAGGAGAUCGAGACCAUCCUGGCCAAUAUGGUGAAACCCUGUCUCUACUAAAAAUACAAAAAUUAGCCGGGCGUGGUGGCAGGCACCUGUAGUCCCAGCUACUUGGGAGGCUGAGGCAGGAGAAUAGCUUGAACCCAGGAGGCAGAGGUUACAGUGAGCUGAGAUUGUGCCACUGCACUCCAACCUGGGCGAUAGAGUGAGACUCCGUCUGGAAAAAAAAGAAAAAGAAAAGUAUCCAGAAACAGGGUGGAAAAGCAUUGGUAAUUGUGGAGUACCAAGUAAUGAGUUCUUACUCUACUCUUGCUAUUUUUAUGUGUGUUCGGAAUUUUCCUUACUAAGAAAGUAUGUGAUACCAUGCGUUGCCACGAUAUGGCAUGGCAUGAUGAGAAGGCACUUCACCUCUGUGGCGUUUCCCCCCAACCCAUAAGCCCUUUCUAAUCAUUAGAAAACAUUAAACAAACCCAAAUUGAGGGACAAUUCACACAGUUCACACAGUUCAUACUGAGACACGGACCAGGAGAAGGAAGGAUCUGGGGGAACGGGAGACUGACCCAGUCUAACCAGGACUUCAAAACUGCCAUGGUCAUGGAAGACAAGGAUAAACUGAAGAAGUGUCACAGAUCAGGGAACCCUAAGGAGACAUGAUGACUCAAUGCAAUGUGGGAUCUUGGAUUGGAUCCUGGAACAGAAACAGACAUUGAUGGGAAAACAGGUAAAAUCCAAAUAAAACCUAAAGUUUAGUUAAUAGUAGUGUACUAAUGUAAGUUGUUUUGUUUGGGCAUGUGCCAGUUAUGUGUAUUCACUUUGGGGGCGGCUGGUGAAGAGCACAUAGGAACUCUGUACUACCUUUACAACAUUUGUGUAAAUCUAAUCCCAAAAUAAAAAGUUCAUUUACAGAAAAAGA